rnacentral:rRNA from 1 species
AUUGCGGCACCGGGUCAUUCCCGGUGCCACGUCCGUCUGAGGGUCGGUAC